GGGGCGGAGCUAAUGCCCUAAGGUUGUAGAGAUUAUCGCUGAAAGAACGUGGGAGCACAUCUGAGGGUCUUCAUUUCUAAAGUUUCCAGGUGAGGCUGAGAAACUGAGAGGCAAGGAGUGACUGAUGGAGAGGGAAACCGUCUCCAUCAGUCAACAAUAGGGAUCCAAGUAAGAGGAGGCUCUUAGCUGUUAACAGGAUUCGCUUGAAGAGAUCAGUCGUUCCUUUCCUGAGUACUCCGCAGAGAAAAAUCAGACAUAGCCCCAAUGCGCAAGUCACAGUUGUGUGGUAUCAGACAGCUAAACAGACAGUUGCAUAAAAGGGCGAUCAGUUUGCCUGACAGAGCCUAAGCGUGGGACGCCAGAGAUGGCUUCCUGGAGAAAGUAGUCCUCUGACAGGUAAAUAAAAGGAACUGGAGGGACCUUGCAUAUGGCAGGCAAGACGGUGGGAAGAUGUUGCAGAGACUGGAGGAAACUCGAGUGUUUCCUGCCAGAAUCCUCCAAGUCUCCCUCUUCCCUCUGCCCUCCAACACAGCUAUCUGCAUUUGUUUGACCUGGAAACAAUGACCCUUUUAUAUAUUAG
rnacentral:lncRNA from 10 species